UGAACAACUGGUCGUCGUCCGUGGAGGGGUAGUAGACUCUGGUAAACGGCGGUACGUUGCCAAACGGUGUUGGGCUUCCCAUCUAUAGGAACCAAAGGAAGUAGAUAAGGAAGUAUCAGUGACAUGAUCGAAUGGUCGGAUGUAUGUAUAAAUAAAAUAAAAGUGGUAGAGUGGGAAUAAAGUGAUAAAUAUUAAUAUCAAAGGUGGAAAUGCAAAUAUAAAAUUGGAUGCAUACUGAUAUGUGAAUAACUUGGCAACAUGAUUAUAGUGGUGGAUGGUAUAAUAAGAAUAAAUAUGCAUCUGUGGUGUAAUAUAAUAAACAUGCAUAUAUGGUAUAAAGCAUGGUAUUUGGUGUUUAUGUGGAAUAAAUGUAACAUCCCAAAAAUUCAAAACUUUUCAUAUCUAUUGCAUCCAUAAGCAUCAUGCCACAAUUGCAUGUUUGAAUUCAAAUUUGAAUCUCAAAAGGCUUUAAUAGAUCUUAUUUCAAUUUAAACCCUAGGGUUUACACCCAUUUAAGCUUAGGAUCUUCAAACCAAUAAGGUUUAUUUAUAAAAAGGAUUUAUUGCAUAAAUAAGCUAUCCCAUAAUUUUUGGAUAAUUAUUUGGAGGUUAAAAACUAUUUUAUUUAAAUAAUUAUAUAGCCCUAAAGGCAUUUAUAGGGCAAAUGUAUUUUUAUGUAUUUUAUUUUGAGGGGAAAUUACUCUCAAAAGUUGAAUCAUGGUAAAACAUGAUUUUACAAAUUUUCUAGAAUUUAUUUAGACCAAUUCGGAGUUCAAAAUCAAAAGAUAUAAAAGAAAUAAGAAAAACAGAAAAAGAAAAGGCUAAAAGAAAAAAAAAGGGAGAAACGGACAGGCCCGGCCACUAUGGGCCGAACCGGCCCAGUUCCGCGCGCCCGAGCUGAACCGACCAGCCCGGUCCACGCACGCGCCCGCACCCAGCUGCUGACAGGCGGGGCCCGCUUGUCAGGGUCGUCUUCCUCGUAAGGAAGGCGCCCGCGUUCGCCGCGCCGCCUGCCGUUUUCGCCGCCGCGCGCUUACCGCCGCAAUCUCCUCGUCCCGUCCUUCUUUUGCAGUCCCGAGCGCAAAAAAGUAUCAUACUUCAAUCCUAUCAUUUUCUGAACAAAUAAUUUUAAAUUUUAUUGGACACGGGGUAGAAACACCCAUGCUCCUAUUAACCUAGGCACAUUGAGUAGAAACAUCAAUGCUCCUACCCAGUUCAAUCCAUUCGUUUUAUUAUGAAAUUGCAAUGAGUGAGACCUUCCUUACAGCCCCGACAUCUCUUCUCUCAUAAUCGUCCGUAACCGGGGACACGGCUAAGUACUUAGUUUGACACUCUCGAGAGGUGGUACAUUUUACCCACAAGAAACCGACGUGUUAAUCCCUUGCUGUCCGCAGGGUAGAGUAGCAACGGCAUCGAUUACAGGAAUUUUCAGAACAUAUUCCCCCAAACCACCUGAGGGACGCGUUCCAACCUACACUGCUACAUACCGAUGUCACCUCGGAUCCAGGUUCAUAUUUCUUACAUCCAUCCUG
rnacentral:lncRNA from 1 species